rnacentral:snRNA from 3 species
AUUUUUAUAUGACUGGUGUUUGAUCACGAUCAAUGAGGUGAUUAACAUGAGCCGGAGCAGGCCCCUUUACACGCUGGUGCUGUAAUGGUUCAGGAAUGCUCUUAUGAGUAACUCCACAGUAUAAUUUUUGUUAGCGGGGGUGAGCGCGUGCGCCGCCCCCCA